AUUUUGAAAUAUCACUGUGGUGUCUGGGAAUGGAAGGAGGAGGAGGUUUCCAGUCCAAGAUCUGCUACUUUCUAGCAGUGUGACCCUGGCCUAAAGCUCUAUAGAAGUAUGGUUGCAGCUCCAGCCCAUGUACAAUGAAAUUCAUGUGGCCCAUACCGUGGUAUCGCCAGGGUUGCAAGUUGAUGGUAGCAAAACGUCUUGAAUGAAAAACAAAUCUUGAACGACUAGUUCGUCCUUGCAUUUGUGGGAUGGAAAUUUCCAAGACAACAGUUCCAGAUCUGGUUGGACUCUGUGGUUCUCUUCUAUAAGAAAUGGAGAAACCCAGAGUCCUUUGGAGUGGAAUCAGAAAACCACUGUGAAAACAGGGGUGGAAAGAGAGGAACUGUGCACGAGGGUGCUUGGCUGAUGUCUGAAGUGCACGCGCACCCACUCUCUCAGGCGAGGCACAAAAGCAACCGCCUCCAGGCAAGCUGACUAGACCAUCAUGGUGCAUUGCUGACAUUGGAAUUACAUUAAA